UACGUAGGCAGCAAGCGUUGUUCGGAGUUACUGGGCGUAAAGGGUGUGUAGGCGGUUCUUUUAAGUUUGGUGUGAAAUCUCCCGGCUCAACUGGGAGGGUGCGCCGAAUACUGAGGGACUAGAGUACGGGAGAGGAAAGUGGAAUUCCUGGUGUAGCGGUGAAAUGCGUAGAUAUCAGGAGGAACACCGGUGGUGUAGACGGCUUUCUGGACCGUAACUGACGCUGAGACACGAAAAGCGUGGGUAGCAAACAGG
rnacentral:rRNA from 1 species